AGAAUAAGUGUAUUUAAAGCAGUUGGACUGCAGAGUGAAGUUAGAGUAUAGGUUAUUGGCGAAGAGUUUGUGACAUUAAAGUCUCAAUUGAUUAUAAAGCCGGGCUUGGACACCGAUAUGGUGGGUUUGUGAUUUUCGGGGUGUCUUCAAAAUAAUUAAAUUGUAUAGAACGGGACUCUGGGAGUCUAACAAGUGCAUUUUUGUCGGAAGGUGACGCUUCCAAGUUGUCGGUGACGAUCGACAUUUCCUCGGGGAGAGAUAGUUCACUUGGCAAGUGUGGAGAACUACGACACUCCAAAAUAGCCACUGACUGGGUCAGUUUACCGUCCGGGGCGGUGGUGUGCACUUUUUUGGUUAGUAGAAACCGGGUUUCGGGCGUCUACCUUUUGACUUAAAACUUCGGGGAAGCCUGGGAUGUGAAGUGUCCCCAAAACAGGGCUUUUCGGCAGGGGUUGAGUUGGUUGACGCUUUUAAAUUGUGUUAGGGCAUUAGAUAUGUGACCACGGCCCGGGGCCGGGACUGGUUAAAUUGAUCAUAAAAAACUCAGGGAGUUUGUCCCUUGGAGGGUUAAGUUAAAGUUUUGUCUAAAUUCGGUAGGUUCUGCAAUUUCAGGCCUUGUAAAUAUUUUUAAGAUAUCAGACGUCUCUGUGUUAUAAUUUUUAUGUUUGUAUAUAGGCUCUGUCUGCCACGGGCACUGCAGCAGGCUGUUUAUUUUGAGAGUGUGUCUGUGUUUAUGUAAAUGAGAUGCCUGUGACUUAUUUAGAGUGACAUUUCCUGUUUACUAAUGAGUGGCUAAUGACUGACUGCAGAGCCAGGGUUAAGGACGACUUCAAUCUGUGUUUUAAGGGAAGAAAUGCAGUUUAUGUUUAUUAUAUUUGUGUGACUGUUGUUGAUUAUGAUAAGUAUUUCAUGAUAACUGUAGAAUAUGAGUAUGGGGUUUGCUUGACACGUGUCUGUACUAGGUAAAACUGUGUAAAACUGAUAGGAAGUUUAUAGGGACUGCUACACAUGGCUGAUGCCUGUAUUUAAGACGCUGGAGUUGUUUAUUACAAUAUUUGUGUCAAUACAGGUGGGCGUCUUUCAACUUUGCAACCUUGAGUUCAGCAGCAGAAAAGUAGAUUAAAAGAAUUGGGAGAGAAUAAGCCAGUUUUUGGCUCGAAAUUGUGCGGCUGGAUCUCUCACUUUGUCCCUGAAGCGGAGAAGAAGUUCAAAGGACAGUUAAUCGCCUGAUGAAGACAGAUAGAACAUCGUGGACUUGAAUACAGCAGGCAAACGGCAGUGCCACUGAUCCAUUAACACUGAUGACGACUGACGACCAGCAGCAGCAUGUAAGACUAAUGCAACAUGUACUGUGAAAAUACAGGCUGGGCAGUUGAACAGUGGGAUAAAGAAUUGUGGAAGAGCACUGGACAUUGAGUGAUAUUUUGCCACGCUGGGACUUAAUCUGAAAGAAAAGACUGUAAAGAAACAGAGAAGAAGACAGCAGCUGAGUUGAGACUGUGUUUGCUGGAGCUUUGAAGCCCGAAUAGGACAUUGUGCAGAGAGGACCAGUGAGAGAUGAAGCUGGACGAGUUUGACUGCGAGAAUAUAGGAUAUAAUUGGAAUGAAAAUUGAAGCCUGAACUCAUGAAUUGUUUAGGGAUGUCCACCACCGCAUAACAAAGAGGUAAACAUUAGAAAAGGCCUGGAAGAGAGUGAACUGACGGCGCGGACAAAUUACCAAGUAAGGAUUGCAGCGAGUCAAUCCAGUCAAAAGUAUAGAGAACUAUUUUCCUAAAAAGGAAAAACGAAAUAAAACAAAUGAUUGAGCUCAUUUUGCUGAUGUGGAGCAUCUGAUGACGUGCGCAGAAGGCUGCAGAUCAGCAAAAAUAUCAUGUGUGAAUGCAUGGGAGUGAAUGUGAGUGAUGGGACCAAGAGGGAAAUAAAUAAAAG
ensembl:lncRNA